rnacentral:rRNA from 1 species
CGCGUAGGCGGCUGAUUUAGUCGAGGGUGAAAGCCCGUGGCUCAACCACGGAAUGGCCUUCGAUACUGGUUGGCUUGAGACCGGAAGAGGACAGCGGAACUGCGAGUGUAGAGGUGAAAUUCGUAGAUAUUCGCAAGAACACCAGUGGCGAAGGCGGCUGUCUGGUCCGGUUCUGACGCUGAGGCGCGAAAGCGUGGGGAGCAAACAGGAUUAGAUACCCUGGUAGUCCACGCUGUAAACGAUGAAUGCUA